rnacentral:tRNA from 1 species
GGGCGCAUAGCUCAACUGGUUAGAGCGUUGCACUCACAUUGCAAAGGAUUCCCGUUCGAGUCGGGAUGCGCCCACCC